rnacentral:rRNA from 1 species
GAUGAACGCUGGCGGCGUGCCUAAUACAUGCAAGUCGAGCGAACAGACGAGGAGCUUGCUCCUCUGACGUUAGCGGCGGACGGGUGAGUAACACGUGGAUAACCUACCUAUAAGACUGGGAUAACUUCGGGAAACCGGAGCUAAUACCGGAUAAUAUAUUGAACCGCAUGGUUCAAUAGUGAAAGACGGUUUUGCUGUCACUUAUAGAUGGAUCCGCGCCGCAUUAGCUAGUUGGUAAGGUAACGGCUUACCAAGGCAACGAUGCGUAGCCGACCUGAGAGGGUGAUCGGCCACACUGGAACUGAGACACGGUCCAGACUCCUACGGGAGGCAGCAGUAGGGAAUCUUCCGCAAUGGGCGAAGGCCUGACGGAGCAACGCCGCGUGAGUGAUGAAGGUCUUCGGAUCGUAAAACUCUGUUAUUAGGGAAGAACAAAUGUGUAAGUAACUAUGCGCGUCUUGACGGUACCUAAUCAGAAAGCCACGGCUAACUACGUG